GACGAACGCUGGCGGCGUGCCUAAUACAUGCAAGUUGAGCGCUGAAGGUUGGUACUUGUACCAACUGGAUGAGCAGCGAACGGGUGAGUAACGCGUGGGGAAUCUGCCUUUGAGCGGGGGACAACAUUUGGAAACGAAUGCUAAUACCGCAUAAAAACUUUAAACACAAGUUUUAAGUUUGAAAGAUGCAAUUGCAUCACUCAAAGAUGAUCCCGCGUUGUAUUAGCUAGUUGGUGAGGUAAAGGCUCACCAAGGCGAUGAUACAUAGCCGACCUGAGAGGGUGAUCGGCCACAUUGGGACUGAGACACGGCCCAAACUCCUACGGGAGGCAGCAGUAGGGAAUCUUCGGCAAUGGACGAAAGUCUGACCGAGCAACGCCGCGUGAGUGAUGAAGGUUUUCGGAUCGUAAAACUCUGUUGGUAGAGAAGAACGUUGGUGAGAGUGGAAAGCUCAUCAAGUGACGGUAACUACCCAGAAAGGGACGGCUAACUACGUG
rnacentral:rRNA from 1 species